UACGUAGGUGGCAAGCGUUGUCCGGAUUUACUGGGCGUAAAGAGCGCGCAGGCGGUCGACCAAGUCGCGUGUGAAAGCCCCCGGCUCAACUGGGGAGGGUCACGCGAUACUGAUCGACUCGAAGGCAGGAGAGGGUAGUGGAAUUCCCGGUGUAGUGGUGAAAUGCGUAGAUAUCGGGAGGAACACCAGUGGCGAAGGCGACUACCUGGCCUGUUCUUGACGCUGAGGCGCGAAAGCUAAGGGGAG
rnacentral:rRNA from 1 species